AUUGAACGCUGUCGGCAGGCCUAACACAUGCAAGUCGAGCGAGAGGCGUACGGGUGAGUCAUGUCUGGGGAUCUCCCCGCUAUAGGGGGCUAACUACUGGAAACGGUGGCUACUACCGCAUACCAUCGUAUGUACCCAUAGGGGAUUAGCUAGUGGGUGGGGUAAAGGCGCACCAAGGCGACGAUCCCUAGCUGGUCUGAGAGGAUGAUCAGCCACAAUGGAACUGGUACACGGCCCAGACUACGACGGGAGGCAGCAGGGGGGAAUAUUGCACAAUGGGCGCAAGCCGGAUGCAGCCAUGCCGCGGGUAUGAAGAAGGUCUUGGGGGUGGAAAGGACUUUCAGCGGGGAGGCGUUACCCGCAGAAGAAGCACCGGCUAACUCCGUGCCAGCAGCCGCGGUAAUAC
rnacentral:rRNA from 1 species